CGGCGCCACAAGUGGUCAUCGCGAUUAUUGGGCCUAAAGCGUUCGUAGCCUGUUUGGUAAAUCUCCCGUGAAAUUGUCUGGCCUAACCAGACAGCGUGCGAGGGACACUGCCAGACUCGAGACCGGGAGGGGUUAGAGGUAUUCCGUGGGGACUGGUAAAAUGGGAUAAUCCACGGAGGACCACCGAUGGCGAAGGCAUCUAACCAGAACGGAUCUGACGGUGAGGAACGAAAGCCAGGGGAGCGAACCGGAUUAGAUACCCGAGUAGUCC
rnacentral:rRNA from 1 species